rfam:Felis catus isolate Cinnamon breed Abyssinian chromosome C1, whole genome shotgun sequence.
GCCUGGGUGGCUCAGUCGGUUGAGCGUCUGACUUCAGCUCAGGUCAUGAUCUCGUGGUUUGUGGGUUCGGGCCCCACGUCGGGCU